GGGAAUGUAGCUCAGUGGUAGAGCGCUUGCCUAGCAUGUGCAAGGCCCUGGGUUCCAUCCCCA
rnacentral:tRNA from 1 species